rnacentral:rRNA from 1 species
GAUGAACGCUAGCUACAGGCUUAACACAUGCAAGUCGAGGGGCAGCAUGGUCUUAGCUUGCUAAGACUGAUGGCGACCGGCGCACGGGUGAGUAACACGUAUCCAACCUGCCGUCUACUCUUGGACAGCCUUCUGAAAGGAAGAUUAAUACAAGAUGGCAUCAUGAGUCCGCAUGUUCACAUGAUUAAAGGUAUUCCGGUAGACGAUGGGGAUGCGUUCCAUUAGAUAGUAGGCGGGUAACGGCCCACCUAGUCUUCGAUGGAUAGGGGUUCUGAGAGGAAGGUCCCCCACAUUGGAACUGAGACACGGUCCAAACUCCUACGGGAGGCAGCAGUGAGGAAUAUUGGUCAAUGGACGAGAGUCUGAACCAGCCAAGUAGCGUGCAGGAUGACGGCCCUAUGGGUUGUAAACUGCUUUUAUAAGGGAUAAAGUGAGUCUCGUGAGACUUUCUGCAUGUACCUUAUGAAUAAGGACCGG